UGGGUGGCGGAAUUGGAAUCG
rnacentral:misc_RNA from 1 species